AGGGAAGUGCUGAAGUUAUUUACCUUUCAAUUUUCUUUUAGUCGGAGGAACUGAAUUGGGCCUGAAGUAGCAAAAUACUGCAUUCAAAUCAAACUUGAUGGUCCCUCAGAGUCGGAGGCAUCAUCAUUUGCAAAUGCAAAACGACCCAAGAUCUCCACUUCUUGUAGCAAACAUGGGAGGGAUUAUUAGGAAACCUCCUGAAGAAACACACGCACUGUAGAUGUUGACAUGGAUAAAUAUUCAACGCAAAGAAACUUGAAUGGCAUCAGCAAUCUGUGGGAGGCCAUUGACAUUCUUCACAUCUCGAAGUCGGAGCCACAACCAUCCAUCAGAUCAGAUGCCGGUGUUCCUGCUCUUAGACUCGUCGUCCCCAAUCGCCACCUCGUCCACCUCCUCUUUCGUCUUUGAUUUAAUGUGAGGGUGGUGAUAAAAGGGAGAGUGCAGGGUGUGUUUUACGGGGACUGCACUGUGCGGGAUGCAACUGAAUUAGGCUUGAAAGGUUGGGUUCGGAACCGGAUUGAUGGGUCUUUGGAACACUGCUUUCCGGGAACCCUGAUGCAGUUAAAGAGAUGGAGCAGAGGCGUCGCCGUGGUCCUCCAUCCGCAGUAGUCACGGGGCUCGAGGUUGACAAUCUUGCUUGCUUUAUGCUCCUUAGUUUGGAGGAAUCUUAGGCUUUAAGGGGAAUACUGUAAAUUAUUCUGUUAAAGAUAAGACUUAGAAAUUGUCAUUACUACCGUGUGUAAAUGGGUGUAUAUAUAUUCAAAAUGUAAUCUUAUUUCUUUAAUCAAUGAAAUCAUAUAUUUGUAACAUAGCAUCGCCUACCUCUGUCUAGCGACCCGAUCCAAAUCACGCUUCCCUCCUUCUCUAGUUCGAAUUUUCAUCCUCUUCAAUUGGAUCUUCAUCCUUUGCUUGCCUCUGCAAACCCUAGGCCUUGGAAAUGGCCACCUGCUUCUCAUUCAUCUGAUUCUGCAUCUCAGAUUCAUCCUUCUCCAACCAUGAAUCCAAGCCCUAACACCUCUAAUACUACUUCAAUCUCUUCUAUUACAAUUCAGAAUAUUGGAUCUAUGGUUCCCAUCAAGCUCACAACUACAAACUACUUGAUCUGGAGUGCCUUGUUUGCUCCGAUUUUCCACCACUACAAUCUCACCGGCAUCAUCGAUGGAUCGAAAUUUCUUCUUGAUGCCUCUAGAAAUCGCAUCUCAACCUUGAAUCCAAAAUACAUGGCCUGAUUCGAAAAUGAUCAGAAUAUUCUCUCUGGAUCAAUUCUACUCUUUCUUUUUAUUUAAUCACGAAAUCAUAUUUUCCAUUAUGGUAUCAGAGCUCUAUCCAAGUUGAGGUUCAAUCUUCUUCGAGACAAACUUUUUCUUCGAAAAUCUCAGCUCAGUUUGGGGAGGGAUAUUAAGGAGAAUAUUGUAAAAGAUUCUGUUAAUGAUACUUAGAUAUUGUUAAGUUUAUUAUUUUGGGUUAUGUUAGUUUUGGCUAGUUAGAGUGAGCUUUCAUUACUAGUGCGCUUAAAUCAGUUGUAUAUAUGCUCAAAAUGUAAUCUUAUUUCUUUAAUCAAUGAAAUCAUUUUUCCCAA